rnacentral:rRNA from 1 species
UACGAGAGGCCCAAACGUUAUUCGGAAUUACUGGGCUUAAAGAGUCCGUAGGCGGCGCAGAAAGUAGGGUGUGAAAGCCCUCGGCUUAACCGAGGAAUUGCGCUCUAAACUACUGUGCUUGAGGAACCUAGAGGUGAGCGGAACUGAUGGUGGAGCGGUGAAAUGCGUUGAUAUCAUCAGGAACACCGGAGGCGAAGGCGGCUCACUGGGGGUUUUCUGACGCUGAGGGACGAAAGCCAGGGGAGCGAACAGG